UACGGAGGGUGCGAGCGUUGUCCGGAAUCACUGGGCGUAGAGGGCGCGUAGGCGGCGUGACAAGUCACUUGUGAAAUCUCCGGGCUUAACUCGGAACGGUCAAGUGAUACUGUCGUGCUAGAGUACAGAAGGGGCAACUGGAAUUCUCGGUGUAGCGGUGAAAUGCGUAGAUAUCGAGAGGAACACCUGCGGCGAAGGCGGGUUGCUGGGCUGAUACUGACGCUGAGGCGCGAAAGCCAGGGGAGCGAACGGG
rnacentral:rRNA from 1 species